rnacentral:SRP_RNA from 1 species
GCUUGAUGCGGUGGCGCGUGCCUGUAGUUCCAGCUACUCGGGAGGCUGAGGUGGGAGGAUCGCUUGAGGCCAGGAGUUCUGGGCUGUAGUGCGCUAUGCCGAUCGGGUGUCCGCACUAAGUUCGGCAUCAAUACGGUGACCUCCCAGGAGUGGGGGACCACCCGGUUGCCUAAGGAGGGGUGAACCAGCCCAGGUCGGAAAUGGAGCAGGUCAAAACUCCCAUGCUCAUCAGUAGUGGGAUCGCACCUGUGAAUAGCCAUUGCAUUCCAGCCUGGGCAACAUAGGGAGACCCGGUCUCU